UAGGAUAAUGCCUUCAAGGUCAUCCAUAUGUUGCAAAUGGAUUCUCUCAAUGGUGUCCAGUUCUUAUUAUUCUUGGAGGGAGAGCAAAAGUCAGGAACAACCUAUGUCAUCAUCUUCGUGACAUCACUUCCCACCUCGUGUAUUUGAGGGAAGAAAGAAGCCCUUGGAUAAUCUUCUUAAGCACCUCAAAAAAGACUAUUUCCUGUCAGGGAAGACAGCAAGAAUGAGAGAGCAAGACAUGAAGAUGGAGAUCACAAAUAGGCAGAGAGA